CUAUGUCUGCCAUUUUCAAUUUUCAGAGUCUAUUGACUGUAAUCUUGCUAUAUAUAUAUAUAUAUUCUUAUAUCUGAUCUUUGGCACCCAGCCUUCUGGACAGAAAUAAAACUGGCCUAUUGGGAAUAUUUUGGGAGUGUGCCUGAAUUGGUGAAUGCAAGAGUCAUUAUGUUACCAUAUACUGUAUAGAGGUGGCCUUCAGCAUCCUCUUCAUACAGUAG